UACGAAGGGUGCGAGCGUUAAUCGGAAUUACUGGGCGUAAAGAGCACGUAGGCGGUUUGAUAAGCGAAAUGUGAAAGCCCCGGGCUUAACCUGGGAACUGCAUUUCGAACUGUCAGGCUAGAGUAUGAUAGAGGUGAGCGGAAUUUCCUGUGUAGCGGUGAAAUGCGUAGAUAUAGGAAGGAACAUCAGUUGCGAAGGCGGCUCACUGGAUCAAUACUGACGCUGAGGUGCGAAAGCGUGGGUAGCGAACAGG
rnacentral:rRNA from 1 species